UUUCUUCGGAAAUGGAUUAGCGGCGAACGGGUGAGGAACACGUGAAGAAUCUGCCCUCCACUUUGGGAUAACACCGGGAAACCGGUGCUAAUACCGAAUAUUGAAACAUAAGUGGCAUCACUGAGUUUUGAAAGAAUUUCGGUGGAGGAUGACUUCGCGGCCUAUCAGCUAGUUGGUGAGGUAAUGGCUCACCAAGGCAACGACGGGUAGCCGGCCUGAGAGGGCGACCGGCCACACUGGGACUGAGACACGGCCCAGACUCCUACGGGAGGCAGCAGUGGGGAAUAUUGGGCAAUGGAGGAAACUCUGACCCAGCGACGCCGCGUGCGGGAUGAAGGCCUUCGGGUUGUAAACCGCUUUCAGUAGGGAAGAAGCGAAAGUGACGGUACCUACAAAAGAAGCACCGGCUAACUAUGUGCCAGCAGCCGCGGUAAUACAUAGGGUGCAAGCGUUGUCCGGAAUUAUUGGGCGUAAAGAGCUCGUAGGUCGUUUGUUACGUCGGAUGUGAAAACCUGAGGCUCAACCUCAGGCCUGCAUUCGAUACGGGCAAACUAGAGUUUGGUAGGGGAGACUGGAAUUCCUGGUGUAGCGGUGGAAUGCGCAGAUAUCAGGAGGAACACCAAUGGCGAAGGCAGGUCUCUGGGCCAAUACUGACACUGA
rnacentral:rRNA from 1 species